ensembl:lncRNA
UUUCCUUUCUGUAUCUCCUCUGCGUGUCUCUUAGUUUUCCACUGUCUGGCCUUCCUCUCUUGCUCUCUCCACCUGUUUCUCUUCCUCCUGUCUCUGAGUGCUUCUCCAUCCCACGCAUUGUCUGUCUCUCUGUCAUUCUAUAUCUCUCUUUGUCUUUCUCUCUCUCCCAUUAUUCUGAGACAUGACAGUGCCCGGCCCAGCAGGAACAACACGUUCCAUAGACAAAUUACCCAACAAAGGCAAAGAGAACGUGCUUCAAGGGAACACUGGGCGCCUGGCUCCACUGUAUUAUGGAGGAGGAGGGGAGGCCUGGAGCCAGUCAGGUGUGGGCACCCACCGCUGGCCGGCCAGAGGGGCUCCAUGCCUGAGCUGUGGGAGGGAAACCAGAAAGGCCUUUUGUGCAGACCGGGCACUGGUUGGCUUUCAAGCAGCACGUCUUUCUUCCAAAGCCAACCCUUUGAUCCCUGGAGACAUAAAAGGAGCCAUCUGCAUUUGUGUUUCAUACAGAUGAAGAAACCGAGGCAUGGAAAGACGAAGUCGCUUGUACAAAGACGCAGUCAGCAACUGAUGUGAAUGCCGCACAGAACAGCGCUGUGUUGAGAGAGGCUGCAGGUGGAGUGAGGAUGAUGUCUCACUAAAUGGCUUCUCCUUUGUCCUGAAAGCCUGGGGCGCUUUGACUGGCUUCCUAAUCAGCGUUUCUGAGAAACCACUUCUCCCUCCCAACCUGGCAUGUUACUUGGACUAGACAAUCUUCAACAGGGACCUCUCUAGCCAGGAGGUUCUCUGCGCGUGCCCUCUCCUGUCUGGCCCCUUCUUCUGAAUUAAUCAACUUCUAGGAGUUUUCAGGGGCCCCAAUUUGCUGCUCACACUGUGGGAUUCGUCCUCGAGUUGCAUCCCAUGUCUGCUCUUAUUUGACUGUUUAUCUUGUUCUGAUUCUGGGCUAACUAUGUACACACUGUUGCUUCCAAGCCCCCAGGGAAGGAGUUCCUCUAUCUGAACCUCUCUUUGUAGAAAUGUGCCAUCAUUCUUAUAAGAAGCUGAGGCUCCUCUCCUGCCCUCCCCAGACCCUGUGGAUGACAGAGUGCUCACUGCUGUGGCUGUGAAGUGCAGAGCCUUCCAUUGGGGGGGGGGGGUAAGACCUGGGAGGUGGCAUACUACAAAGUAGACCGCGAGGGCUCCAGGCCUGGUGAGAGACACAUGUCUAGCGCACAUUGGUGUUGAGGCAGGAGAAGCCCCUGUGGGCAGGGAGAGAAGGCAACUAUUAGAUCAGACUUUCAUCGGCAGCCAGGUGGCUUUGCACUGAGCUACCCGCUCUGUUCCCAGCGGUGGAAUAGCAAGAGGGGGUAGUGGCAAAAGAGGCGCUCUUUGCAGCCAGGGAUUCAGAUUUACCUGUGGGAUCCAAUGCGUGACCUCAGCCCCUGCAGUUCAGAGCUCCAUCCCGACCCCUGGGAGCCAGCGUACGCCGAGUGCUUUGGGCUGCAGAGGACGUUCAUGGCCUCCUCUUUGGAACUGUUGGUGGUCUCUCAGUGCACCCACCUCUGCCACGCCUUGCAGGUGCUCAGGAGCUGCCCAUGGGCAGCGGACCAGUAGGAAAUGGUGCUCCUCUCUGCUGGUUCCCUAGGAAGUUGGGUAGAUCCUGAUUGUGCAAAGGCCAGGAUGACUGUCACCCAGGGGUCACCCUUCUCCUUAUAUCAUGAGCCACAGUUCAGCAUUGUUUUUAAAAUGUCUGCUCCUGAUGUCAGGAAUAUGUUCCCUCCUAACUCACAAGGUUGGCAGACAGAAUAUCCUGGGACUGGUCAUCUGUCAUCUUGCGGCUGAGACCACCAAUUGUUCCUUUAUAUCUCUUCUCCUCCUCUAAGAUAAUAGAAGUUUUAGUUGGGUACAAAGCUCUCCAUGAAGGACUACAUUUUCUUGCUUCCUUGCAGUUAGAUGUAGCUUGUGACUAGGUCCUGGCCAAUGGCAUGGCAAGGAGGGAGCACUCGCUUUCAUCUUUCCCUUUCCCACUGGCUGGAAUGCAAACACAGUGGCAGGAGCUGGAGCAGUCAUUUUGGACUACAUGAUAAAAGCUGCACGUUGAGGAAGGCAGAGCAACAAGAUUGAAGGAAGCUGGAUACCUGACACCAUUAAGCCACCACAUCAUCUGUGGAUCACCUAUUUGGAUGUUUAUAUCAGACUGAUGGGAAACCUGAGGAACCCAGGAGCUCCUCCCCCAGAGAGUCAGAGGUGCUGUUCUGAGCAGAGGCAGAGCCGGCUGACCUGGAAACCCAGAGAGCUCCAGGGAAGCCCCACGGCUGGGUGGAAGGAGGAUUGUCGCUGCAGCCACCAGUCUGAACGGGCUGGCCGGUCCUGCGCCCUUGGGCCUCAGAUGAGGAAACUGAAUAGAAGCAUCAUUAAACGAUUAACCCGACGUCAUACAGCCAGUCAGUGGCCCAGCUGGGAUUUAAAACUAAGUCUGUCUGACUCCAAAUCCAGCUAACUGAGACAUCGUAUCAGCCAUGUAUCCUGUGCAUUUUAAAUCCCAGAUUUCUCACCAUCCUGCUCUAUCUAUCAGAGCCCUCUCUCAUCAGCCAGAUCAGAGGGUUGAAUAUAACUGGCUCCUACAACACUCUAUCUCAUAUUUCUCACACUAGGAAGUCCUUCCUAGAGUCUAACCUUGGUGCCUCCUGCUGUCUCUUACCCUGAAAUCGGGAAAAGUGGAGCAAAGAUGGUCUCUGCCCCAUGCCCUGUCUUUGGAGACUGUGCUUCAUGAGACUGUGGCAUUCUUCUGUGGCUCUGAAGGGUGGGUUGCUCCUGGCUGCAGAAGUAGGAGCCCCAGGCACUGGGGGAAGAGGGAACUCUGGCUGGGAGAAGGAGGUGUUCUCUCAGGCCACCUCUCAGAGGAGACUUUGGCCCUGCCUGCAAACCCUUCCAUUUUCUACUGAUUCCAGCACAGGUGAGGAAGGAGCCAUCAUGAAGGCAGGGACAGUGAGAUCCUUAGAGGAUCCUUUGCUCCUGAUGCUGAUUAAUUCUUUGGGGGAAUUUGAAGUUGUGUCUCUGGGGGCACCAAGAAGUCCUGGAUUCCGGAAAUCCCCACGUGGCCCUUGCACCCCUGUGGAGGAAGAAGAGGAAAGGACACAGGCUCGCACCCAUUCCCUGAAAUGGAGGAAUGCGGUUCCCCAUCAGGGUGAGGAGGAAUGGGGAAUUCCGAAGACCGGCUCCAAGGCCCCGGCAUUGGAGCCAGAUCUGCCGCUUCUUGGAAGCCCGCCGCUUUCCGGGAGAGCCCGCCUGGCUUCUGGCCUCCUCUGGCUUCUUGGCCAAGUUCUGCAGGUGGAUCGGAUCGUCUCCAUGGUUGGAAACAUUUGGAAACGUCUGGAAACAGGGUAGAGUGGACACAGUUUGGCUCCUAAGGAUCCGUGGCUGGGAGAUUGAAAUGGAGAAAGCCCUGGCCCCUGAGCCCAUCCGAACCCCCUCUUUCAGGCUGCCAUGCCCCAAAUGCACUGGGGCCAGAGGAUGAGCUUGCCUUCCACAGCCCACCCCUUUGGAGAAGGGCAACAGCUCACACCACCGCCAGGGGAGAGGGGCAGCCUGGACUGUCACCGUGGGUGUUGCCCGUCCUUGUCCUCGAGACAUUCUGAGUCUCCUUCACGCCCGGUCAACAGAUGCUGGUUUUCUCCACCCUGGGCUGAGGUUGAAGAGAAAUUCAGAGCAGGAGCAGACAGGGCCCUCGAGAUGGGAGACAUAGUCAUGCUCAUGGAUUGCAGGCCAGGCACCGGCGCUAAAGAGAGCAGUAUUAAUAGCUAACGUUCCUUAAACUCUUCUAAAAUGGGGCACUUUACAUAGAGUGCACAUUUAAUCCUUACACUCUCCCUAGGAAGUCCGUACUACAAUAUCCCCAUUUUACAGAUGAGGAAGCUGAGGCCCACAGUGGUUGAGUAACUGGCCCAAGAUCGUACAGCUAGGAAGGAGGGUGGGAACCCAGAUGGUCUACCCCAGAGACAGCAUUCUUACUCUACACCUGUGCUGCCCAAUACAGCAGCCACUAAACUCAUGGGACUAUUCAACUAUGAAAUAAUUAAAAGAAAUACAAUUAAAAAUUCAGUUCCUCAGUUGCACCUGCCACCUUUCAAGGGCUCAGUCAUAUACGGCUAGUGGCUACCAUACUGGACAGAGCGGACACCGAAUAUUUCAACCAUCAUGGAAAGUUCUAUUGACAACAGCGGCCUACACUCUACUGCCUUUCAAGAAUCAGGAUGGAGCAAUGGAAAUUCCUCCCUCCGUGAUAGCAUAAAAUAAUAAUUAACCGUAUGAUAAUAAUGGUUAUAAUUUACCGAGCUUCCUACGUGCCAGGCACAGUGCCAAGAGCGUAAUCCUUACACAAUUCCAGGCUCAGGAAGGUUACCCAGGGUCACAGAAGCCAGGAAGUGAAUCUAGGUCUGGGUGGGUCCUUCCCCCUCCUGCUCCACCCCCUGCCGUGCCCCCAGGAGUUUACAGCCCCUGCAGAGAGGAGGGGAAGGCAAAUGCAUGCAUUUCACAAGAACAAGGAUUAAAUAAAUCAGCACAUAAUUAACAUCACCACAUUUCCCCAAAUCAGCUGACCAGAACAUUGUGCUAAUGAGGUCAAGGUCUUGAUUUUGAGCCCUGUGAGCAUCGUUUCACUUCACAUGGAGAAGGCCUCCCUCCCUUCCCUGAGGGCUGCAUCAGGCCCCUGAUACUGUGAUUGGGAGACUUGGAGACUAGCCCGUGGCAGGCUAUCAGAGGCCCAAACCAGGGGGAAUUGCUUUAGGCUGGGCCAGGCUGGAGCAGAGGCCUGUUAAAUGCUGGUGGGUGCACGUCUUCUGGACAAUGGGGAUGGGAAUGUCUUCUUCCUCUAGAAAAGUCAAGGAUGCUAACUGAGUUUGAAGAAAAGAUGCAGCAGAAGAUAGAACAGAGCUUCUGAGACCCGCUUCCUCUUAGGUAAAACUUUUGGGAGACAUGGGGUUUAUAGGGACUUUCGAGGGCUUGACUUGGGUGGAGAGAUUUGCCUUUAGUAUCCCAUAAGGAUUAAUCUAUUUCUGGGAAAGUUAGCUCCAAUUAUUUGUCAACCCCUACAUGUCAUCUGGGCAGAUAAGGCCCAGUGAGUGGCAAGAGCAGACAGUUCAGGAGAGAGCUGGACCUCCUCCCCGGACAGACAUGAGAUAAUGAAGGGGCAGUGCCUACUUGGGGCCGGGCACACGGUAGGUUUCAGUAGACAUAGGUUCAUUUAAAUUCUCUCUCUCCUUUAAGCAACUUUUUCCUGGGCCAGCACACCACCAGGUUUGGGGGACUCUAAUGAUGUAAGCGUUAUGCCAAAGGCGUGAUCCGAUGACUGGCUGUAUGCGUCAGGAUAGGCCCUGCUCUGCUGCAAUAACAAAUAGACCCUGAACUCUCAGUGUAUUCACACCAUGGAGGUAUAUUUCUAGCUCACACAAUAUGACGGAGGCAGAUGGGCAGGGGCUCUGCCCCACAGAGGGACCCUGGAUGUUAGACACAUCAUAUUCCCACACAUGGCUUCCGUGACGGUGCCUACAGGGACAGAAAAGAGCAGGAGGGCUACGCACUGGCUUUUAAAUGCUUUGGCUCAGAAAUGACAUACAGCAUCUCCACUCACAGGCUAUUGACCAGAACUGGUCCUACUGGCGAGGCAACUGGGAAGUGUGGGGGAGCAUGUGGGGAUGUGGCGAGCAGUAAAUAUCCCUGCCACUUCACCACUUCCCCUCUCAAAACUCCGUUUUCUUCUCCGGUAAAAGGACUCUGAGGUCUCUUUUAGCUCUGGGAUUCCAGGUCUCCAUGGAAUGUUAUUCCACAAAUAGUUCCUGGGAAUCUUACCUAAAUGCUGACGGUCCUCACUUAUGUUUGACCCUCCCCUCUCAGAGGUGGACUUGAUUUUUUGAAACAAUCCAAACAACCCAAUUUAAAAAUGGGUUUAAACAGACAGCUCAUCAAAGAAAAUAUUCAGGCGGUAAAUAAACAUAUGAAAGAUGCUCAUAAUCAUUUGUCAUUAGGGAAAUGAAAAUUAAAACAAAGAGAAACCACUGCAUACCUAUUAGAAUGGCUAAAAUCCGCGCCCGCCCCCCCCCCCCGAAUUGAAAAUAUCAAUUACUGGUGGGGAUAUGGGGCAAGAGGAACUCUCAUUCAUUGCUGGUGGGAAGGCAAAAUGGUACAGCCCCUAUGGAAAAGUUUGGCAGUUUCUUACAAAAACUAAACAUAGUCUUACCAUAUGAUCCAACAAUUGUACUCCUAGGUAUUUACUCAACUGAUUUCAAAACUUAUGUCCACACAAAAACCAGCACAUGAAUAUUUAUAGCAGCAAUUUAUUCAGAAUUGCCAAAAAUAUAAUUGCCAAAGUAACCAAGACGUCAUUUAAUAGACGAAUAGAGAAACAAACUGUGGUACAUCCACACAAUUUUAUACUAUUUAGCAAUAAAAAGAAAUGAGCUAUCAAGCCACACAAAGACAUGGGUGAAUCUUAAAUGCAUAUUGCUAAGUGAAAGAAGCCUGUCUGGAAAGACUGCAUACUAUAUGAUUCCAUUUACGUGACAUCUUGGAAAAGGCAAAACUAUAGAGAUGGUAAACACAUCAGUGGCUGUCAGUAGUUUGGGGUGGAAGGAAGGUUGAACAGGUGAGCCACAGGAAAUUUUUUAGGGUGGCAGAACUAUUUUGUGUGAUACUAUGAUGGGGGAUACAUGAUACCGCGAUUGUCCAAACCCAUCGAACUUUACAGCAUGAAGACCGAACCUUAACGUAUGUACAUUUUUAAAAGUCAUUUAGGACGCUGGAAGACCACAGGAUAGAAUGCAGAAUGUGACAAAGAAUCCAACUGUAUUACAAAAGCAGAAAAUCACCCAUUGAAGGGGAUGGGAGGAAAGAUGCUCAGUAACUCCGGAAAUGAGUGGAAUCUGUACGACUAAAGACAAAGGGAGCUGCACAUAGCACGGUCCUCUAGUUGAUGAAGUUGUUUCCCAUGGAAAUAUAGGUUAACAACCUGAAAUAACGUAUGUGUAUCCUGGAACUCAGCAAUUCAGUAAGUGGAUGGUAUAUGGUGGGAGCUGGGUUUCUCACUGUUGGAGUGAAAAAUUACAGACAAGUAAGGCGAGAAGGCUAGAAUGAUCCAUGUGGUAAUGGAAGAGUUAGGGACAUCAGUAUGAACCCACGUUUAGCUUAAUAUAGAUACAGAUGGUUACAUGAGAAAUACUUACAGAUAUGUAUAUACACAUGGGUUAGUAAAUGCAUGUAUAUUUCCUUUCUCUGUCAGCUGGGACAGUCUAUAAGCAACCACACCCCAGUAGCGACAAGCACACUUGGUGCUCAGAUCUUGGUUUCUAAUACCAUUCUCCCUUCAGUGAAACCAGGGCUCCUGGGAGAAAAGGCUGCUUCUAGAUCUGGGGCAGGAAAUAUACACGAGGAGCCCAGGGUAACUUAUAGUGUCAGAAAGUAAGACAGUGCUCAAAAAACCCUCCAGGAGCCGACUGAAAGAACUUCCAGUGGCCAAAGAUGGAAGAAUUUGAGAAACAAAAUAAACAAAGUAGUUUUGGAUUAUAACCCAAGGUUUAAAAUAAAUUUCCACUAGUUCAUACUCAUAUAAAUAAAUGAUUAAAUAAAUAAAUGGAGGAGAAGAGACAAAUCUCGCAUGCAGGAGAAUUCCAAAUAAUUAUGCAGAUGCUUUAUUCUCAGGGAGGGGGAUCAUAGCUCCCCCGCCCCUUAAGUGUAAGCUCUGUAUAGUGACUUCCUUCCAAAGAGGACACUGCGGAAAGUGGGGGGGAAGAAUCACUUGAUGGUGGAAAAAGUUGACAAACGCUACCUCAGCCCCGUGAUCAAGGUCAGCAUCGAGCGUGAUAAGUCGUGUAGAUAGUGUGUACCCUCGAUACGAUGUGAUGAAAAUGGCCUUUUAUCUCUACAAACUCCUAACUCGAGCCAAAUCAUGAGAAAAGCAUGAGACAAAUCCUAACUGAGGGAAAUUCUACAGAAUAUCUGACCAGUACUCCUCAAAACUGUCAAUGUCAUCAAAAACAAGGAAAUGGGAACUGUCACGGCCAAGAGGAGCCUGAAGAGAAAUGGUGACUACAUGUAACGUGGUGUCCUGAAUGGGAUCCUGGCACAGAAAAAGGACGUUAGUAAGAACUAAGGAAAUCUGAAUCCACUAUAGACUUUAGUUAAUAAUAAUGUGUCAAUAUUAGUUCAUUAACUGUGACAAGUGUCCAGACUAAUUAAGAUGUCUAUUAUGGAGGAACCUGGGUGUGGAGAGUAUGGGAACUCUUUGUUUUAUCUGCAAUUUUUCUGUACAUCUAAGACUAUUCUAAAGUAAAGAGAUCCUUUUUAAAACGUAAUUUGAAAUCAAGUUGAACGAAUAAUGUGAUGGAUUAAAUUGGAUUAUAAAAAGUUUGAUUCUGAUGUGAAUGAGUUUGAUUGACUUGAAAAGUGCUUGUGAAUAAAACUGCAGAAAGCUGGGUGAAAAUGCUCUGAGGCUAGGGGAUGCUUCAGGGUGGAGGCACCACAGCUGAAGACACCGGAAGGACAGGACCCGUGGGACUGGGAGAAGGCCGGGAUGA